rnacentral:rRNA from 1 species
UUGAGUGUUAGGCAAAUCCGGCACUCUUAAGAUUGAGCUGUGAUGGGGAGAGGAAAUUGUUUCCUCGAGUCGUUGAUUUCACACUGCCGAGAAAAGCCUCUAGAUAGAGAUUAGGUGCCCGUACCGCAAACCGACACAGGUAGUCAAGAUGAGAAUUCUAAGGUGAGCGAGCGAACUCUCGUUAAGGAACUCGGCAAAAUGACCCCGUAACUUCGGGAGAAGGGGUGCUCUUUAGGGUGCAAGCCCAGAAGAGCCGCAGUGAAUAGGCCCAAGCGACUGUUUAUCAAAAACACAGGUCUCUGCUAAACCGUAAGGUGAUGUAUAGGGGCUGACGCCUGCCCGGUGCUGGAAGGUUAAGAGGAGUGGUUAGCUUCUGCGAAGCUACGAAUCGAAGCCCCAGUAAACGGCGGCCGUAACUAUAACGGUCCUAAGGUAGCGAAAUUCCUUGUCGGGUAAGUUCCGACCCGCACGAAAGGCGUAACGAUUUGGGCACUGUCUCAACGAGAGACUCGGUGAAAUCAUAGUACCUGUGAAGAUGCAGGUUACCCGCGACAGGACGGAAAGACCCCGUGGAGCUUUACUGUAGCCUGAUAUUGAAAUUCGGCACAGCUUGUACAGGAUAGGUAGGAGCCUUUGAAACGUGAGCGCUAGCUUACGUGGAGGCGUUGGUGGGAUACUACCCUAGCUGUGUUGGCUUUCUAACCCGCACCACUUAUCGUGGUGGGAGACAGUGUCAGGCGGGCAGUUUGACUGGGGCGGUCGCCUCCUAAAAGGUAACGGAGGCGCUCAAAGGUUCCCUCAGAAUGGUUGGAAAUCAUUCAUAGAGUGUAAAGGCAUAAGGGAGCUUGACUGCGAGACCUACAAGUCGAGCAGGGUCGAAAGACGGACUUAGUGAUCCGGUGGUUCCGCAUGGAAGGGCCAUCGCUCAACGGAUAAAAGCUACCCCGGGGAUAACAGGCUUAUCUCCCCCAAGAGUUCACAUCGACGGGGAGGUUUGGCACCUCGAUGUCGGCUCAUCGCAUCCUGGGGCUGUAGUCGGUCCCAAGGGUUGGGCUGUUCGCCCAUUAAAGCGGUACGCGAGCUGGGUUCAGAACGUCGUGAGACAGUUCGGUCCCUAUCCGUCGUGGGCGUAGGAAAUUUGAGAGGAGCUGUCCUUAGUACGAGAGGACCGGGAUGGACAUACCUCUGGUGUACCAGUUGUCGUGCCAACGGCAUAGCUGGGUAGCUAUGUAUGGACGGGAUAAGUGCUGAAAGCAUCUAAGCAUGAAGCCCCCCUCAAGAUGAGAUUUCCCAACUUCGGUUAUAAGAUCCCUCAGAGAUGAUGAGGUUAAUAGGUUCGAGGUGGAAGCGUGGUGACACGUGGAGCUGACGAAUACUAAUCGAUCGAAGACUUAAUCAA